CCAAAUAUCUGUUAGUUGUUUAAGUUUGAAAAUAAGCUUGUCAAUUUUGCUGAAAAUAAUACAUUUUAUGUUCUGGUUGGCGAUUCUAAUGUGAGACCAAAGAUAGUCGGCAAUCAAUAUGGAGAAGGCCCAUCCUUUGUGCUUGUCUAUAUCUCAUCUCGUUGAAGAUGUUGAAGCAUGCCUAAAUUUUGGUGGAAUAACAAAAAGUCAGCGUAAAUCAAGUUAAGGAUUCUGAUGGUGUGCAAACAUCAAAGGAACAUCAUUCUAAUAGGAGAAGCAAUAGUGAUCUGCAUCUGGCUUUUAAUGGUGAAGAUAAGACAAAAUCUGCAU
rnacentral:lncRNA from 1 species